UACGGAGGGUGCUAGCGUUGUUCGGAAUUACUGGGCGUAAAGAGCUCGUAGGCGGUCUGUUGCGUCGGCUGUGAAAACCCGAGGCUCAACCUCGGGCCUGCAGCCGAUACGGGCAGACUAGAGUUCGGCAGGGGAGACUGGAAUUCCUGGUGUAGCGGUGAAAUGCGCAGAUAUCAGGAGGAACACCUGAGGUGAAGACGGGUUGCUGGGCUGACACUGACGCUGAGGCGCGAAAGCCAGGGGAGCAAACGGG
rnacentral:rRNA from 1 species